ACAAAGGCCAGAGCUGGCGGAGCUGGAGAACCCCAUUCUGGGAAGCUGGUGGUGAGGGCCUCUGCCUUUGAUCACCAGGAAAACAGAGGACCUUCUCUGGCCAAACGCUUGACCUACCUUGUCUCUGUUCCCACAAUGAUCCUGCAAGGUGCCAGGUGAAGGUCAGAGAAUCUCCCCUGGCUUUCACGUGCAUCCCUUGCCCCAACCCGCCCCAGCAAGUGGGCACGAGGUAAG